UGGAAAAUAGCAUGAAAGAUUAAACAAAAUGGUUAUUUAUUUAUAGAAUAAAAUUAUAAUUUCUAGUUUAGGUAAAAAUACUUAAAUAAUUCAGAGGGACGAUAAGACCCUAUAAGGUUAAAGUUUAUUAAUUUUCUGAUACAUAAUUGUUAAAGAAAGAAAAGAUUUAUUUUUGGCUGGGGUAGUCUUAUUUAUAAACAAAUAUUUUUGGCUACGAGUUGUUUAUAAGGUCCCCUAAAUAGGGAUAAGUGUAUUAGUUACUUUAGGGAUAACAGCGUAAUGAUAAUGGUAAGACCUUAUUUAUAUUAUUGAUUGUGACCUCGAUGUUGAAUUAAUUUUCUUUAUAAAGCAGAAAGUAUAAGGGAUAGUUUGUUCAACUUUUAAAUUUUUACAUGAUCUGAGUUCAAA
rnacentral:rRNA from 1 species